GGGGAUAUGACUCAGUUGGUAGAGUGCUUGCUUAGCAUGUACAAGCACAAGUACCUGGAUUCAAGCCCCAGCACCACCA
rnacentral:tRNA from 1 species